rnacentral:rRNA from 1 species
GACGAACGCUGGCGGCGUGCUUAACACAUGCAAGUCGAACGGAAAGGCCCUGCUUGCAGGGUACUCGAGUGGCGAACGGGUGAGUAACACGUGGGUGAUCUGCCCUGCACUUCGGGAUAAGCUUGGGAAACUGGGUCUAAUACCGGAUAGGAGCCAUCUUUAGUGUGGUGGUUGGAAAGUUUUUUCGGUGUAGGAUGAGCUCGCGGCCUAUCAGCUUGUUGGUGGGGUAAUGGCCUACCAAGGCGGCGACGGGUAGCCGGCCUGAGAGGGUGUACGGCCACGUUGGGACUGAGAUACGGCCCAGACUCCUACGGGAGGCAGCAGUGGGGAAUAUUGCACAAUGGGCGCAAGCCUGAUGCAGCGACGCCGCGUGGGGGAUGAAGGCCUUCGGGUUGUAAACUCCUUUCGCUAGGGACGAAGCUUUGUUGUGACGGUACCUAGAUAAGAAGCACCGGCUAACUACGUG